UACGGAGGGUGCAAGCGUUAUCCGGAUUCACUGGGUUUGAAGGGUGCGUAGGCGGACAGGUAAGUCAGUGGUGAAAUCUCUGGGCUUAACCCAGAAACUGCCGUUGAUACUAUUUGUCUUGAAUAUCCUGGAGGUAGGCGGAAUAUGUCAUGUAGCGGUGAAAUGCUUAGAUAUGACAUAGAACACCGAUAGCGAAGGCAGCUUACUACAGGAUGAUUGACGCUGAGGCACGAAAGCGUGGGGAGCAAACAGG
rnacentral:rRNA from 1 species